rnacentral:rRNA from 1 species
CGCCGGCGAGACGCUGUGGUUUUAAUUCGGACGCGACAGCGACAGGAACCCUUACCCCGGAUUUGGCCCUGCCAACUGCCGGGCGCGCGGGCGGCGUGUGCCCCUACGGGGGUGGGGCCCACGGUGCUGCGUGGCUGUCGAUCGACUCGUAGUAGUGAGUUAUUGAAUUCGGAUCCCAAAACGGACGAGAACCAUCGCCACCAGUUACCCAUGUCUGGCGGGACUGCCACAUUGAUGGGUGAGGAAGGCGGGGAUGACGUCAAGACCGCAUGGCCAUGAGCGCCUGGGACGACGCACAAACAACAAUGGCCGUCACAGGUACGUUACGACACCACAGGGAGUGGCUGAAGCCGGAGGGCGGUCUCAGUACAGAUCGGGGGCUGCAACUCGCCCCCGUGAGG